CGCCCGAAGCCAUUAGGCCGAGGGCACGUCUGCCUGGGCGUCACGCAUCGCGUCGCCCCCCGCACGCCUCAGGGCGUCGUGGGGCGGAUACUGGCCUCCCGUGCGCCUCGAGCCCGCGGCCGGCCCAAAUGCGAGUCCACGUCGACGGACGUCGCGGCGAGUGGUGGUUGGAAUCUCAACUCUCUCUUCCGUCGCGGCCACAGCCCGUCGCGCGCUGGGGCUCCCAGACCCUUUUCGCGCCUUACUCAAGCGCUCCGACCGCGACCCCAGGUCAGGCGGGACUACCCGCUGAGUUUAAGCAUAUCAAUAAGCGGAGGAAAAGAAACUUACGAGGAUUCCCCUAGUAACGGCGAGCGAACCGGGAACAGCCCAGC
rnacentral:rRNA from 1 species